rnacentral:rRNA from 1 species
GAUUAACGUUGGCAGUGUGCCUAACACAUGCAAGUCGAGCGAUAUAGCGGCAGACGAGAGAGUAUAAGAAAGGAACGUACCCCCGAGUGAAGGAUAGCCAGCCGAAAGGCUGGGUAAUCCUGCAUAAUCCCGCAAGGGCAAAGCUUUACGCGCUUGGGGAGCGGCCUUUCUCCUAUCAGCUUGUUGGUGAGGUAAUGGCUUACCAAGGCGAUGACGGGUAGCUGGUCUGAGAGGAUGAUCAGCCUCGAUGGGACUGAGACACGGCCCAUACUCCUACGGGAGGCAGCAGUUGGGAAUUUUGCACAAUAGAGGCAACUCUGAUGCAGCAACACUGCGUGAAGGAUGAAGGUUUUCGGAUUGUAAACUUCUUUAUCUGGGAAUAAUCUUGAAGGUACCAGAUGAAUAAGCACCGGCUAACUACGUGCC